rnacentral:ncRNA from 2 species
GGAACACGGUGCGAAUCCGUGGCGAUCCCGUCGCCGUAACCGGGGACCGGGGGGACGUAUGGCGCGCGCGCCGGGCCACUGGGGGAGCAAUCCCCUGGGAAGGCCGUCCCCGCCGGGCUGAUCCGGAAGUCGGAAGAC